rnacentral:piRNA from 1 species
UGNGCACAGGUAGCAGAGGAAACCCAG